rnacentral:rRNA from 1 species
CGACCCCAGGUCAGGCGGGACUACCCGCUGAGUUUAAGCAUAUCAAUAAGCGGAGGAGAAGAAACUUACAAGGAUUCCCCUAGUAACAGCGAGCGAACCGGGAUCAGCCCAGCUUGAGAAUCGGGCGGCUUUGUCGUCCGA